AGUGAACGCUGGCGGUAGGCCUAACACAUGCAAGUCGAACGGCAGCACAGUAAGAGCUUGCUCUUACGGGUGGCGAGUGGCGGACGGGUGAGGAAUACAUCGGAAUCUACUUUUUCGUGGGGGAUAACGUAGGGAAACUUACGCUAAUACCGCAUACGACCUACGGGUGAAAGCAGGGGAUCUUCGGACCUUGCGCGAUUGAAUGAGCCGAUGUCGGAUUAGCUAGUUGGCGGGGUAAAGGCCCACCAAGGCGACGAUCCGUAGCUGGUCUGAGAGGAUGAACGGGCAGAGUGGCACUGAGAUAAGGCCCAGACUCCUACGGGAGGCAGGAGUGGGGAAUAUUGCACAACGGGCGGAAGCAUGAAGAGGAAAAGCCGCGUGCGGGCUGACGGCCCUCGGGGUGUAAAAAGAUUACGCAUGUGACGAAGCGGGAGUGACGGUAAUGGGUAAAGAAGCACCGGCUAACUACGUG
rnacentral:rRNA from 1 species